rnacentral:ncRNA from 1 species
AAAACGGCCCUUUUCAGGGCCACCAGAAUUUUAGAAUAUUUUCUU